rfam:TPA: Bos taurus chromosome 21, whole genome shotgun sequence.
UCCUUCAUAGUCCAGUGGUUAGGACUCGGCACUUUUACUGCAGGGAAUCCAGGUUCAAUCCCUGGUGGGGGAA